rnacentral:rRNA from 1 species
CGGGACACGUGGUAUCCUGUCUGAAUAUGGGGGGACCAUCCUCCAAGGCUAAAUACUCCUGACUGACCGAUAGUGAACCAGUACCGUGAGGGAAAGGCGAAAAGAACCCCGGCGAGGGGAGUGAAAAAGAACCUGAAACCGUGUACGUACAAGCAGUGGGAGCACGCUUAGGCGUGUGACUGCGUACCUUUUGUAUAAUGGGUCAGCGACUUAUAUUCUGUAGCAAGGUUAACCGAAUAGGGGAGCCGAAGGGAAACCGAGUCUUAACUGGGCGUUAAGUUGCAGGGUAUAGACCCGAAACCCGGUGAUCUAGCCAUGGGCAGGUUGAAGGUUGGGUAACACUAACUGGAGGACCGAACCGACUAAUGUUGAAAAAUUAGCGGAUGACUUGUGGCUGGGGGUGAAAGGCCAAUCAAACCGGGAGAUAGCUGGUUCUCCCCGAAAGCUAUUUAGGUAGCGCCUCGUGAAUUCAUCUCCGGGGGUAGAGCACUGUUUCGGCAAGGGGGUCAUCCCGACUUACCAACCCGAUGCAAACUGCGAAUACCGGAGAAUGUUAUCACGGGAGACACACGGCGGGUGCUAACGUCCGUCGUGAAGAGGGAAACAACCCAGACCGCCAGCUAAGGUCCCAAAGUCAUGGUUAAGUGGGAAACGAUGUGGGAAGGCCCAGACAGCCAGGAUGUUGGCUUAGAAGCAGCCAUCAUUUAAAGAAAGCGUAAUAGCUCACUGGUCGAGUCGGCCUGCGCGGAAGAUGUAACGGGGCUAAACCAUGCACCGAAGCUGCGGCAGCGACGCUUAUGCGUUGUUGGGUAGGGGAGCGUUCUGUAAGCCUGCGAAGGUGUGCUGUGAGGCAUGCUGGAGGUAUCAGAAGUGCGAAUGCUGACAUAAGUAACGAUAAAGCGGGUGAAAAGCCCGCUCGCCGGAAGACCAAGGGUUCCUGUCCAACGUUAAUCGGGGCAGGGUGAGUCGACCCCUAAGGCGAGGCCGAAAGGCGUAGUCGAUGGGAAACAGGUUAAUAUUCCUGUACUUGGUGUUACUGCGAAGGGGGGACGGAGAAGGCUAUGUUGGCCGGGCGACGGUUGUCCCGGUUUAAGCGUGUAGGCUGGUUUUCCAGGCAAAUCCGGAAAAUCAAGGCUGAGGCGUGAUGACGAGGCACUACGGUGCUGAAGCAACAAAUGCCCUGCUUCCAGGAAAAGCCUCUAAGCAUCAGGUAACAUCAAAUCGUACCCCAAACCGACACAGGUGGUCAGGUAGAGAAUACCAAGGCGCUUGAGAGAACUCGGGUGAAGGAACUAGGCAAAAUGGUGCCGUAACUUCGGGAGAAGGCACGCUGAUAUGUAGGUGAAGUCCCUCGCGGAUGGAGCUGAAAUCAGUCGAAGAUACCAGCUGGCUGCAACUGUUUAUUAAAAACA